rnacentral:misc_RNA from 1 species
CUUGUACACACCGCCCGUCACACCAUGGGAGUGGGCUGCAAAAGAAGUGGGUAGUUUAACCUUCGGGAGGACGCUCACCACUUUGUGGUUCAUGACUGGGGUGAAGUCGUAACAAGGUAGCCCUAGGGGAACCUGGGGCUGGAUCACCUCCUUACCUAUACGACUAACUCAAUACCUAAAGUGCAGCGAUGCAUGUGAGUGUUCACACAGAUUACUUGUUAACUUCUUCGGAAGUAGAGUGAAACACACCGCUUGCCGGUUAAGUGUUGUUCUUUAACAAUUUGGAAAGCUGAUAGUACUAACUAAAGGCGCAUGAAUGACGAUUCGUUGUUAUUGAUGUGAUUACGUUAGUGCGAAAAACGUUAAUGCGAAAGCAUUAACACUUGAGUUCUCAAAACACUGUUUAAGUGUCUUGAAUAUUCUAAAAAACUAAGGCGAGUCCACUUCCUGGUCGGAGGUGAGACAAGUAAAAACCAGCUGGUCAUGAUAUGACCCAGAUGUUCACGUAAGUGAAACCUAUCUGGGUUGUAUGGUUAAGUGACCAAGCGUAUACGGUGGAUGCCUUGGCAGUCAGAGGCGAUGAAGGACGUAAUAACUUGCGAAAAGCGUUGGCGAGCUAGUAAUAAGCAUUUGAGCUAACCAUUUCCGAAUGGGGAAACCC